CCCUACGCAUUUGCCUUGUGGAAUUCAAUUUCACGAAAGAUGAAAUCGCGACAUCAGUCGAAGGUUUCUCCUCCACAACCAAGAAAGAAACCAUUGCUGAUGCGCUAAACCAAUCUCCAUGUGUCUCAGAGACCAGAAAAGAAAGAGACAAAGGUUGUUCCUCCUUUGCUCUGCGAUAUAUAUCGAUAAGAAACAAUGGAGCUCAAAACAAGUAGGAAUUCGAAAUCGAAAGUGCUCAAUCCGGAUGGACGAGGCACGACUUGUGGGCGACUACGUGCUCGGCCCGAUAAUCGGGUCGGGUUCGUUCGCGGUGGUGUGGCGGGCGAGUCACCGGUCGUGGGGUUCUGAGGUCGCCGUCAAGGAGAUUGACAAGAAACUUCUCAGCCCCAUUGAUCAUCCCAAAAUCAUCCGAUUCUACGGGGCCAUCGAGGUUCCUAAAAUCGCGGUUUUUUCUUCUGGGUUUUUGUUGCUAUACGAAAAAUACGAUCAGAAUUCUGGGGUUUUGUUGCUGUUUGCUUGGAAUCUUCUUAAAAUUAAGUUCAGUGUAAGCUAUUGUUUUCCUGGUUUUUCGUCGAGGAGUAUGUUGAUGAAACUGUCUGGGAAUUGUAUACCGGCGAAAGGAUAUAGAUCUGAUUUUGGAGGACUGUGGCGGAGGGGAUCUUGCUGGGUGUAUUCAUCGCCAUGGAAAAGACUCAGAACAUGUUGCUAGGCAUUUUAUGAGGCAAUUGGAUUUUCUCGAGGAUUUUCUGAGUAGAAGAAUGUACAAAUUGGUGAUUGGAAUUCGUGGCAAGAAUUUUCCUUUCAAUCGCUGAACCGAGAUGGGAACCAAUUGUGCAGCUGCAGGGCUGCUAGCACUUCAAGAGAAGCAUCUUAUUCACCGGGAUUUAAGGCCUCAGUUGAGCGCGUGGCAUUCAGGGAGUUCUUUAAUCACAAGUUUCUUCAGGAGCCAAGAUUGUGGCCUGCGCUCCAUUUUUCUUUGCCUGAAGCUUUUGAUUUGAGCAGUCAGACCCUUUAUCAUUUUCGUUUCUUUCUUUUGUUUAAGACAAAAAUGCUCCAAAUUUUCUUGAAUGCCAAAUGUGGUAGACCAUCCAUUGCUGGAUGUUGAGCAGGAGGCAUAUCCAACUCCACGAACAGAAUCAAAAAGGCAUUCUGAUUGUAAAGAGUGUCAAUGAGCAGAGCGAAGCUUGUGAAAACAUUCGUGCGGUAGGUCUCACUUGUAGCAGAUUGACCUCCACUGCACAGUAAAUUUCCAGGCUUUGGAUCUCUCUUCAAGAUGAUACUUAUAACAGUAACUCUUAUAUUGAUAGCACUGGGACUCGGUACUUACUCUUCUUGUAUAGGUUCAAUAUGAAACAAUAUCAUACCACAGGCGAAACUGGUUGGUAACCCACCUUUGGCCAACGUUUUCUUUAUCAGAAUAUGUAUAUAGUACAUACGUACAUUCAUGCAUGAUGUCUCUGCCAAGGUAUUUGCCAUAAAAUUUCAGGGUCAGAGGAAUUCAGAGAGCUUAAAUAUGGCGCUAAUAGUUUAUGGACGCUCAGUCAGGUUGUAUUGUAAACUUUACUACAAGAGUAUCGAA